AAGUGUUGCUACAUCGGAGGCUGCAGGUUCCCACACACCUACCACACCAGGCUCCGCUGAAAUUGGAAUCGGAUAUCUCGAUGC
rnacentral:ribozyme from 1 species